AGGGACACUUAUACCCAUAUCCUUCAUAAGCCCUUCUUGACAGUAGAGUACUUGACAAAUGAUUAUAUUCAAUGCGAAUGUACUCCUAUAUUCCAUCUGUAUGUCAUAAUAGUGUCUUCACACUCCUUAGUUAAGAGAAUAACUAACUCAUAUGGCACACAAUGACCUAAACUCGAUAUUUCUAUCAUCCUAUUAAUAGCAUAUCAUUUGGUCGUGAACACUUUUAAGGACUAAAUGAUAAAUCUUUCUUUAUC
rnacentral:lncRNA from 1 species